GUCGAGAUCGCAUAGUGGUAGUGCGCCAGUCUGGAAAGCUGGUGGGUUUUGCCCUCGGGGGUUCGAAUCCCUCUCUCGACG
rnacentral:tRNA from 1 species